UGUUUCGGCUAGGGGGUCAUCCCGACUUACCAACCCGAUGCAAACUACGAAUACCGAAGAAUGUUAUCACGGGAGACACACGGCGGGUGCUAACGUCCGUCGUGAAGAGGGAAACAACCCAGACCGCCAGCUAAGGUCCCAAAGUCAUGGUUAAGUGGGAAACGAUGUGGGAAGGCACAGACAGCCAGGAUGUUGGCUUAGAAGCAGCCAUCAUUUAAAGAAAGCGUAAUAGCUCACUGGUCGAGUCGGCCUGCGCGGAAGAUGUAACGGGGCUAAACCAUGCACCGAAGCUGCGGCAGCGACACUAUGUGUUGUUGGGUAGGGGAGCGUUCUGUAAGCCGUUGAAGGUGGCCUGUGAGGGUUGCUGGAGGUAUCAGAAGUGCGAAUGCUGACAUAAGUAACGAUAAAGCGGGUGAAAAGCCCGCUCGCCGGAAGACCAAGGGUUCCUGUCCAACGUUAAUCGGGGCAGGGUGAGUCGACCCCUAAGGCGAGGCCGAAAGGCGUAGUCGAUGGGAAACAGGUUAAUAUUCCUGUACUCGGUGUUACUGCGAAGGGGGGACGGAGAAGGCUAUGUUAGCCGGGCGACGGUUGUC
rnacentral:rRNA from 2 species